rnacentral:rRNA from 1 species
CCUACGGGAGGCUGCAGUGGGGAAUAUUGCACAAUGGGGGAAACCCUGAUGCAGCGACGCCGCGUGAAGGAUGAAGUAUUUCGGUAUGUUAACUUCUAUCAGCAGGGAAGAAAAUGACGGUACCUGACUAAGAAGCCCCGGAUAACUACGUGCCAGCAGCUGCGGUAAAAAGUAGGGGGCAAGCGUUAUCCAGAUUUACUGGGUGUAAAGGGAGCGUAGACGGCAUGGCAAGUCUGAUGUGAAAACCCGGGGCUCAACCCCGGGACUGCAUUGGAAACUGUCGGGCUAGAGUGUCGGAGAGGCAAGUGGAAUGCCUAGUGUAGCGGUGAAAUGCAUAGAUAUUAGGAAGAAUACUGAUUGCGAAGGCGGCCUGCUGGAACAUUACUGACGCUGAUGCACGAAAGCGUGGGGAGCGAACAGGAUUAGAUACCCGAGUAGUC